GACGUAGGAGGCGAGCGUUAUCCGGGUUUACUGGGCGUAAAGCGCGUGCAGGUGGUUCGGUAAGUUGGAUGUGAAAGCUCCUGGCUCAACUGGGAGAGGUCGUUCAAUACUACCGGACUCGAGAGUGGUAGAGGGAGGUGGAAUUCCCGGUGUAGUGGUGAAAUGCGUAGAUAUCGGGAGGAACACCAGUGGCGAAAGCGGCCUCUUGGACCAUUUCUGACACUCAGACGCGAAAGCUAGGGUAGCAAACGGG
rnacentral:rRNA from 1 species